rnacentral:rRNA from 1 species
UGCAAGUCGAACGCUAUUUAUAGAGUGGCGCACGGGUGAGUAACGCGUGGGAACCUGCCUUUUUCUGCGGGAUAACGGUUGGAAACGACCGCUAAUACCGCAUACGCCCUACGGGGGAAAGGUCCGCCGGGGAAAGAGGGGCCCGCGUCUGAUUAGCUUGUUGAUGGGGUAACGGCCUACCAAGGCAACGAUCAGUAGCUGGUCUGAGAGGAUGAUCAGCCACACUGGGACUGAGACACGGCCCAGACUCCUACGGGAGGCAGCAGUGGGGAAUAUUGGACAAUGGGGGCAACCCUGAUCCAGCAAUGCCGCGUGUGUGAUGAAGGCCUUAGGGUUGUAAAGCACUUUCACUGGUGAAGAUGAUGACGGUAACCAGAGAAGAAGCCCCGGCUAACUUCGUGCCAGCAGCCGCGGUAAUACGAAGGGGGCGAGCGUUGUUCGGAAUUACUGGGCGUAAAGGGCGCGUAGGCGGUCUUUUAAGUUAGGCGUGAAAUCCCCGGGCUCAACCUGGGAACUGCGCUUAAAACUGAAAGACUAGAAAACGGAAGAGGGUAGUGGAAUUCCCAGUGUAGAGGUGAAAUUCGUAGAUAUUGGGAAGAACACCAGUGGCGAAAGCGGCUACCUGGUCCGAUUUUGACGCUGAGGCGCGAAAGCGUGGGGAGCGAACAGGAUUAGAUACCCUGGUAGUCCACGCCGUAAACGAUGUCUGCUAGAUGUCGGGGGGUUGCCCCUCGGUGUCGCCGCUAACGCAUUAAGCAGACCGCCUGGGAAGUACGGUCGCAAGAUUAAAACUCAAAGGAAUUGGCGGGGGCCCGCACAAGCGGUGGAGCAUGUGGUUUAAUUCGAAGCAACGCGCAGAACCUUUACCAGUCCUUGACAUGGGGAGUUU